CCAAAAUUACAAAGUUAUGUUCGGAAAUCAAAUUUAGUUACCUCAUCCGCGGCGAGGAGAUUGUCAAAGGGGCGAAGCUGAUUAAUCAUAUCAUCAUCGAAACACCUAAGCUGAUGGACUGGAAUAUAAAAUUCAGGCGUUCGACCUUGAGAAAUUGCCGUUUGUGUACUAAACGAAGCGGGCGUUAUGAUCGCUGUUCUUGGCCACGUACGAGCGGGAGGUAAUGGAGUUCGCCGAGUACAUCUUACCCGAUCCGAUCGUGAUUCAGCUAGCGCGGGAGCAAGAAUCACUAGAUAACAUCAAACAGCACUACAAUAAGUACCGCAACCAGGACGAGAAAUAUCAAGCAAUUUCGAUCAUCUUUGGCGUGAUUACCAUCGGAUAUGCGAUCAUUUUCUGUCGUGUGAGUAUAGGACAGUUGUGAUUGGCAUUGUUAAUCGAUGGAAACAGACACGCAAAACGGCCGAUAGGAUGGUCAUUCGGUAGCGGUACUGUCCGGUGAUUUAACGGUGGAGCAAUGGUUUGCCGGUCUGAAUCGAUUCCGAGCCGGACUAAAGAAGGUAUUGAUUACAACGAACGUUUUGUCUUGGGGUAUCGAUGUCGAACAGGUGACCAUUGUAAACUUCAUCCUGUCGAUGGAUCAGUAGAGACGAGCCGAUUGCGAAACGUAUCUGCAUCGAAUUGGACGCACCGGUAAAUUCUGCAUCGCCAUCAACCUGGUGGGCAGUGAUCGAAGCAUGAUGAUUUGCAGAUCAUUCGAAAAACACUUCCAGAAAAAGAUUUAGCUGCUAGACGCGGAGAAUUCGGACGUUAUUGAAAAGAUCGGAUCGUAGUGUUUUCGACCAGCUACUGGUGAAAGGCGCUGGAGCUUUUUUGGUUCAUUAUUGUUCCGAUUGUGAAUCUAUAACUUUAUUUAGCUCUAUCAGUUGAUUUCCUUAGGAUUUAAUUCAAGGAUCGGUAACGCGAGGAUUGUGAAGUGCAUGUUUAAUUGUUAUAACUUGGAGUUAAGUGAACCACAGAUAACAGACGUUUAAGCUCGAUUUGAAUCGUGUAUAAAAGCCCGCUACUGAAAUUCCGAAUAAAUUAGACGUCUGAAACACGUUUGGCAAACGUUUGCAGAUAACGCAGUGAUCAAUACAAUGCAGUUAGAGUGCAGCUGUUAAACACGUGUAGCAAACAGUUGCGCAGAUGGCAAUAGUGAAACACGGAUUUCCAACGUUUAUCAAUUUGAAAGUUUACACAGGUUUUUGAAGAAAUUUUGUUCUAGCCUAAACGUCUGUUAUCUGUGGGUAAACUCUUGAAGAAAACGAUUUUGUUUUUUUAUUUUGUCGUUGGACGGCCAGUAGAGUAAAGUGGCAAGAAUUUUUCCAAAACACCUUGAAGAAGAAGAUGAAAAAUAUUUUGUUCAAUACCAUGUAAAUAAAUAUUUCAAGAAGAUAGAACAGACAGCUAUAAAACAGCAAAAAAAUCUAAAAGAAAUUAUAUAUGCUUCGAAGCGAUUUUCAUCGUUGGCGCCGUUUCCGUCGUCGUCAUCCUCAGUAAGUUGUUCCUUCUUAACAUCGA